GCCUACAUUUUCUUCUAGGAUUUUUAUGGUUUUGCAACUUACAUACGUCAGUACGUGUUUUAUAACCUCCCUGGCCGUAAACCUGAGCACCAAUGCUUGAUCUACUGUCUAAGAGGAACAGGUGACUUUGCUAAUUUUACACAUUCAUGUUCUUGCUAAAUUUCUGAGGAUUUGUUCAAGUAUUAUGCUCAUUCAUGGACUGCUGGCAGUUUGGAGUGAGAAGGCAGCUAGAGACCCUGCAGCACAACCAUCUCAGCUUACAGAUGAAUAAAACCUCAGUCGCAUUGGGAAGUUUUGGCCAUCUUCAUCCACUCUUGCUGCCGUGGUACCAGAUUUCUGCAAUGUCUUCAAACAUCUCCUUCCCCACUAAUUAAAAACAGACGGUUUUGUUGGAACAUCAGCUACAAUAACAGGAAAAAGUAGCAUU